GCUCACUUUUCUGAAGACGACAGCUAACCUGCUGCACUGCUGGUGUGCCUCCCGCCCCUUUGUGACGAGCCCCCUUGAGCCUUGAGGGGAAGACUUUGAUGAAGACGUCACGUAGGACUGAGUGCGCCAAAGUCUCUCAUUCUCUGCACAUUGUCCAGUUGCGAGCCUCUGUGUGAAUUCCCAUCUACUGCAAGAUGAAACUUCUCUAGUAAGGAUUGAGCAAGGGACUAAUUUAUGGUUAUAGCAGAGUGUCAUUAGGAAUCAUUUUAUUGCUGUUUCUUUAACAGAAUAAGAACACUAGGUUUUCCCCUAGGCCCACGACCUAUCAUCUACUCUCAGGUUCCUGGCCUCUUUAGGCAAGAUAUGACCUCCAUUUUACAGCUGCACACUGAGUAUCUGCCAGCUACGAGGCACUGAAACGCCAGCCCUAUUCCUAGACAAGCAAGAGCAAGGCAUCAAACCAGACACAAGAGCGUUAGAGAAACGGGUCAUUAAAGUGAUGAGCACCAUGCGGAAUUCAAACGCAGAACACGCGUGGGACACACGGGAGAUCGUUUAGAUGAGGGUAUCAGAGAGUUCAAUUCUGAGGCUACAGCAUCUGUCCCCGCCUCCAAAAGAACGGUAAGUGCGCCGCAUCACGGAGGCCAGGACAGAACAUUUCAAGCUGGGAGAAAUGCGGUGUGAAGAGUCAAGAAAGCCUGCUGUAUUGAGGAACUGAAAAAUCUACCAUGGCUGCAGCUUGGAGCGAGGGGAAGGCACCUGAAGCCUGACACAGAAAGGAACACCUGCUUAAACUGCCAGGAAAUUCAAAUGCAGCCCAAAGUAGGGCAGAGAAGAGGAGAGA